rnacentral:lncRNA from 1 species
CACACACCCAGCUGGGAGGAUGUAGUCCACUUCAUUGGAGAAGGCGAUAUUUGAGGUGGCAGGAAAAAUAAAUAGGAUUUUAAAAAGUGGACAUGAAGUGUGGGACUGAGGUAUGGAGGCCUGGAAGAAAAUAACAACCCUGAACAUGAUCAGGAAGUAGUCUAGUCCAAUUUGGUUGGACCAGAAAGGAAAAUUGGGAGAUGACAGGGGAAAGAUAGCUUAAGAGACCAUAUUGGUGACCCCAGGGCCCUUUGUUUAAAUUGCCAUUACUGCACUCCUCAUGAUGGUGGACUCGUUUGCAUGGCUGUCUCCCCACUGGACCGUACCACGUCUUUACAUCUUUAUAUCUCCCGAGUUUAGCCUAGUGCCUCGGACAUAACAGGAAUUCAUUAAAUAUUUACUGAAUGAGUUAAUAUUGUGGAGGGUCUAAAAUGUUAUCCUGGGAAGUGUUUGCCUUGUUCAAGUGAGCAAUGGGAAACCACUGAAGGUUUUUGAAUGGGAGAGAGAUUUCAGUGUUAGAAAGAUGAAUCUGGUAGUAGAUGGUAGGAUGGAUGAUUGGCAAGGCAAGAGACUGAAGGUGGGAGAGCAUUAGGAGGCUCGGAUGAUGGCCCAGGGUCAAGCCCUUGCAGCCCCUGUUAGGAUGGCUGACUGUGGGGAGGAAAAGCAGGAGGCAGGUGAGAGAAACACUGUAGAGCUGGGACGUGGCAGCUGGACAAAUGGAGGGGAGAACAGAAAGGGAGCAAGAAAGAUGGCUUCAAAAGAACGGAGGCCCCUGAGAGAAAAUAGAAACACUGGGAAGAGGAGCUUUUGGAGGAUGGAGAUCCGGGUUCUGUUUCAUAAAGCUGCUGUAUGAAUUCCUGUCCCCAGAUGGAUUUAAAAGAGCAAUACUGAAGGAAAGGUUUCCAAACACAAAAAUGAUUUUCCUAAAGACCAAGUUGUUAAAAAUAGCCAUCUUGAUUGGGCAGGCUUUCUUGGUCCCCAGGUUCAGAACUACCUGGGCAGCUCAAACGACAUGUGGCCCCCACCCCCCGGCCCAAAUUAGUCAGGGGUGGGGGUGUUGACCUGUAUUUAGAAAGCUCUCUCAGAGGGUUCUGAUGCAUAGCUCUGUUUGGGAGCCACUUCUGGCUCACCCCACACUGGACAGCCCCUAACACGCCUGGAACAGGCCAGGGAACUCUCCCCCAGCCUUAAAAGGCGAUUUCAGAUUCCAGUUUUCCUUCUACUCUGGCAGGGAAGGCGAGUCAGGCAGAUUGGCAGCUGUUCCAAGCGUUGUCCCCGACCCAUCCUGGGUUAUUACAUGAGCUGAAUGUAAUCAUUCACAACUCCUGUCUUUACAGCUGGCAUGUCACUUAGCUUAAUUACAGCACACAGUGGCAUUUCAACUCAAGGAAUCUAAAAAAGCAAUAAAACGGGUUUUGCAUAUUGUUAGGAAGGCAAUGAAGACCUUGGAACUGCAAUUUAUGAAGCAUUGCUUUAAAUUAUUUUGCAUUCUCCUGCCAUGACUCUUAAGUUAUUAACCAGCAGCGUCAGAAAGCCAAGCAGGCCACGUGUCACAUAGAGGGUGUUACAUGUUUCCGAGCAUACACGGUGUGCUGGGGAGGUGGCUGGAGGCUCCAGGAGCUGCCUUGGGGUGGGAGGGGUUGUCUUUGUUCUGAGCAUGUGUUCUUCCCAUCAGGCACCUGCCAAUCACGCUUCCGCCAUAACUCUCCCAAACCAUGGGCUCUGACUGGUCUGGGGUGACCUUCAGCAAGGACCCCCUUCCUCUUUACUCCCGGACAUCCACUGUUCCAAAAAGGCACAAGGAAAGAAACGUGGAAGAGCAAAACAAGUCCUUUUAUAUCCAGGAUUGGUGCCUGGCUUCUCUGGCUCAUUGAGUUCUUUUCCUGGUUUAUUUCCUGGUUCCUCUUAAUCUUUGAGAAUGUACUUCUUGGGCAGCCAUUUAAAGGAAAAGACUGUGACUGUGGUGUCUCUCCACCACCCUGCUUUCUCAAGCCUAGGAGUCUUAGGAAUGAUAAUAAAAAGGGACCCUGUCCGUCUGAGAAGGGGGCAGAAGCAGCAGGAAGUGGAGCAGGCAGCGCUGAGACAGAUCCCUUUUGCUGUGAGCAACAUUGGUCAGCACGAUAAUUGGGAGCAGAAUGCCAGCUGCCUCAGCAGCCAUGCCAGACGGGAGAGCAAACACCGAAAUCCUGUUGGCAAACCCAGCAGGGCCGUCGCAACAUGGCCAAAGCAAAUAGGGGCUGAGGCCGGCCCACUGCAAUGGACUCUCACUUCCCCCUUGGAUCCGGCAGAGAGAGAGACUGAGCCAGCUAAGCCCACGUAUAGGGAAUCAAGUAGCCAUGGGGAUGCUCAUACCCAUCCCUGGGCUGGGGUCCGAGCUGGACCCUUGCUCUCCUUGCCAUGGUCUUUCAUUUGGCACAGACUGAGGAGAGUCUGAUAAUGAUACAGCAUUUUCACGGCUAUUCCUUUGUUUAUUCUUCAGCAGUCCUGUGAGAUCAGUAUUAUCCCCAUCUUCCAGAUGAGAAAACUGAGGCCAGGGGAGAUCAAAGACACAGAGCCAGGACUUAGUCUCGGGGCCUCUGCCUCACUGUCUGCUGCACUUCUCAUUCCCUCCCCCCAUGUCAAUUCCCACAGUCCCUUCCUGGCAGAGCUCCCACAGUCUAAAGGGGACUUGAGUUCUUUCCAUUUCAUAGCUGAGAAGCAGAGGCUCAAAGGUGGGUUGGGGGGGGGUAUUUUUGUUUUUAGACCAAGACACAGCAGUUGACAUCCGUGAUUCUGUCUGCCACACCCACCAGCACAACCGGAGGCCCAGUGAGAUUAAUAUAUUUACGAAUAGUUUCAAUUCUUUGGAUAUUUCAACAGACUUUUUUCCUCCCUUUUUUUAAACAAGAAAGAUCUGAAUAAAUAUCUCUGGUUUUCAUGUAAUAACGUGGUUGUAUGUGGACACGGCCUUGUUAGACCCUCUUAUGACCUGCAGCCUCUUGAUGUCUCUAGGAUCCGAGGUACCUAUGAAAAUUCAUACCCUUGCCGCCUCGUUGGAAAAUUUAUAUUUCGUGGAGAGAUGCACAGUAGCUAUAUUCAUAUCCGAUAGAAGGACUGGGCUCCUAUUGAGAGAAGAAAAGCCAGCUGUUGGAUUGGCUGUUCCCUUCUGGGUCCCCAUUCCUCCACAGAUUUCCUGGUUAUUUGAAAUUUCCUGAUUAUUCUCCAACGUGCCUUUUUGAGGGGAGGGAAGGACAGGAGAAGGAAAGAGGAGUCGUUUACUGGAUUCGGAUCCUAUAACCAAUCCUUUUUCUCCUAGCGUUUUCAUUUGCUCUGCUUCUGGGGACUUUGCCGGGAAAUACCACUUGUCAGAAGGAGCCCGGGAAAGUGGAGGUGGAGGGCGUGACUGGAGCAAGUCCUCUAUUCCCCGUCUCUGGAGGGAAAACUUAGAGGGCAGGUGGGGCUGGGGGUCCCCAGGAGAGAGCGAGGCCUGUGCGGGACUAGUUUGGAGAUUCUGCUGGAGAAGGUGCGCGUGGGAAAGGCGCAGCCGGGCGAACUUGCCGGGAAUUGGAGAUUAGGACGCGGGGAGAAGAACACCUCGCUCCCCACGACACAGGCCCGUGUUGCUGUUCUGAGUACGGCUGACCCGGGGCGCUGAGCCCCGCGCUCUUCGGCGGAGAGGAAUCCCGGGUCGACCGUUACUCACUGCGUGCUUCGCCGACACCCUCACACGCGCUGUCCCGCCCGAGCGCCUCCCGGCACCACCGGCGCCCGGACCGGGAACUCGGCCCUGCAGCUGCCGGCUGCGCGGGGCCCAAGGGCUCCCGGCAGGAGAAGCCGGGCCUUCGCGCCAGCGAGGUCUGCGGAGGAUCCGCCCCGGCCGGGAGAAGCAGGACGGAGGCGCGGGGAGCUGCGCCUGCGCGCGCAGUGGAAACGCUCAGCGCGGGGCCGCCACCCGCCGCUUCCCUGUCGCUCUCCUCCCAAAGCCGCCGAGGUGGAGUCGGCUCCCCAGGAGGAGGGAAAUCGGCUUCCUCCGGGAUAAAACUCCAUGACAAAUCUUGGGGAAAGUGUAUCUCGUGUUCAAACCUGAGACACUGCGGUGAGGCGUUUUACCACGUCGACGUGCCCGCACCUUCGAAGUUGUUACCAAGUCCCGGCUGCGGGGACGACUCGGUAAACGUUAGCGGUGUCCUCGCCUCGCUAGGGUGGACCUGGCUCCUCACGGUGGAACUCUGCAGGGCCCGAGUGUCUCUUGACCUUUCCUCUAAAGAUCUGCCUACGUUUUUGCCCAGUUUCCUGACUGGUAUUUCAGGUACGAUGAAUGCACGCAAAACAUUUUGUCUUCCAAAGAAUUCCGGACAGUGGUGGAAAUUCAGAACUGGAGAAUAGGCUCCCAGCAGAACACGGGCGAUGGCUUCUGGGCACGCCACGGGGAAACCUGGAGCGACUGAAAAGGGCUGCGUUUGCGACCCAGCCGGGACCGCGGAGCCAGCCUGCAGUUUUGAGGGGCAGCUGGCUGAGCGCCGGGAUCCUGAAGGUGACGGGCGCCACUGGGGAGAGCCGGACGCGGCCUCGAUGGUUCCUCGGGUCCUUCCAACUCUUCGCUUGCUUUCCUCACUCCCGACUCCAGCCCCGCCGACCCCAGCCCCGCCGACCCUCCCGCCCCCAGCCAGUCCUAGCUGUCCCACUCCUCUGUACCCUGGAUCUCUGAGGACAUAAGUGCAUGGCGAUCACUAGGUCCCGGAUGGCCAAGGGCACUGGCUGCUUUCUCUCAGUUCACCAGGAACUGGAGGCCGAGACACAGACCGUCAACCUCUGCAAGGGUGGAAGGACGUUAUCUCCAAAAGCCCAAGUGCCAGGUGCCUGGAAGGCUCAUGUCUUAGACCUCGCCCCGAUUGAUUUUCUAGAGUAUUGUGUGCUCCUGGGUGAAAGUCUGGUGACCUGCGGAGCAGUUUGCCCCCGGCUGAGACCUAGAGGGAAGGAGAUGGCGCGGCGCCGCCGGGCCAGAGGUCUUAGUUCUGCGGCGCUCCCCGCCAUGCCCUUCCCACCACAGUCCAAGGCCAGCCUUUUCGGGUCUUCUAAUCUUAAGGGAGUCAGAGAAGAUGAGGAAAUGAUUGAGAAAAAACAAAUCUCUCCCCAUUUUCCAAUAAAGAGAGAAUUCUGCAGGAGAAAAAUCCAAGUGAGAAUAAUCUACACCCCAUUCCAUCCAUUCUGUCCACCUCCGGGAAAAAGUUUUCGGGAAAACUCCAACACUAUAAAUAGAGAGAGAGAUUUUAAAUACUCCUCACACGCAUAACUCCAUUGACAAAAUAAAGCCACAAUCUCGCGUUUCAGUAAGAUAUCAUAAAAGCAAAUUAGUAAGAAACUAGAUGAACAAAAAGCAACAAAGUGAGAUGACGUGAACAGAGUUUUCUGAAAAAAGGACAUACAAAUUGCUCCAACACUAUGAAAAUAGGUUCAACUUCUAGGGACAUUAAAAAAUGCACAAGGACUUUGAAAUGGCCUAUUUCUAAGAAUAUAUCACACAGAUAUACUUGCAUAUCCUCACAGAACAGCGUAUAUUGUGUGCAAAUGCAGCAACAAAGGAAGAGAAAAUUGGAAACAAUCUAAAUAUCUGUUAAUAGUCACCUGAUUAAAUAAGUUAUGGCACAUCCAUACAACGAAAUGAAGCCAUUGAAAAGAAAAAGGCAUUAGUAAAGAUACAGAACCAUCUUUAACACGUCUUUUUUAAAAAAUAAUAAUAAUAAAAGGCAACAUACAGAGCCUUGUGCGUGGAAAGGUGCCAUUUGUGUUAAACGCUAUAGUCAUAAGAAAACAGCUGACUGAACACAGCGGUUGCUUCUGGAAGGAGAAAUGAGGUCUAUAAUUCAGAGAUCUCCGACUGAAGACGAAAAGGGGAAAUUAACUGCACCCUUCAGACGAAAAAUUAAAGCCAAACUCUAACCGUUCAUUUUCAAGUUGAAACAUAUGUACUGCUGCGGGGCUUCCCGACUUUUCCAGGCCGGCUCGGCUCCGUCGAUCUUGCGUGCCUUUUCGCCGGAGACCCGAGGCGCCCGCUCUAGGAGAUGCUGUUUCGGCGGCGACCCGGCCGGGAGUCGGCAGACGCAGGCGGGGCUGCCCGAGGGUGGGCGCCUCCGGAGGAACCAGGACCAUCUGAGAAUGGAGGCCGGGCCUGAAAGCACGCGCGCACCCAUGAUGGGAAGGAAUGUUCCUGGAGGGGCAUGCCUCCCUCUGGGCCCCUCUGCGGCCUCCCCUCACCCCCAGGUGAGAGAUGAGGGCCGGGACCAAAGAGCCCUUCGCUCCGCAGACCCAUCUCGACCGCGGGGCCGGCUUCGGGCAAUCCUACGGGGAUGGACUGGCUCCUACGCAUUAGUCAAAAGAAAGUCGACCCCUUGGCCGGUUAUCCGAGGAGAUGGUGAGGAAGGCAGCGGGUCUGAGGUUCUCACCUGGGGCGAGAGCGGGGCGGCCUCUGGGUCCUCUGCUUCCACCCGUUUCGGUUGGGGGGGCGUCUCUCGGCAUUUGCUCUCGGCAUCCCCGGACCGAGCAGCGACCGACGCCAACCCUUGCAGGAGAAACACGGGUCUGGGGUCAAACCCCUUCCCUACAACUUUACCCAAAUCCUCCCCUUUUCUGCCUAGACCGGUGUCUCAGCUAUCUUCUGAGUCUCUCUCGCUAAAAAUUUAGGGAAACUGAGGCAUAGAAAGAUGAAUGAGAUUUGCUGGAAUGGGGUCACGAAAGAGAUCUUGGGGAUGGUUUCUUGGUCAGCAGGAUCCUUGGCAAACGUGGAGGAUGCAUUGUGUGAGGGGGAACAGACAGAUAAGCGUGGCCCAAUUUGGGGGUGGGGAACAUCUGGGCUGGGGGAGGGAAUGCUGGAGGACAGGGAGAUCCCACCGCCCCGGAUCCCCCACAAAGAGCUCCGGGGAGAAGGACCAGCAAGCCAACCUCCCAGGCUCCUUCUGUCUCCUCAAAGAGCCGCCUCUCAGAGACUGAAAUGAUCCAAACAGCACAGGAAUUAUAAACGGACUCGAUUUGCCCCCAAACCAGCAAUUUCCUCCCUUUCCUCCUUUCUCUCCCUUCCUGGGGAUUCCACUACCCAUUGUCAAUCCCCUCCAAAGAAAUUGCAGAAUGAAGGAAAGAUCAGAGUGAGCCCAGCAGGGCCCUCGGAAUCUCGUUCCUCUGUCACCCUUCCUUCAUUUGACUGGUAUGGCUAAAAAUGGGGGGAGGGGAGGGAGUUGGAAUUGAGCUUUUCCCCAAAUGUUCCAGCUUUCUUUAUGUAAAUGUGACUGUGGUUCUGUCACAUCAAGCAAGAGGAGAUGACCAA